AUUUUUGAGAGUUUGAUCCUGGCUCAGGAUGAACGCUGGCGGCGUGCCUAACACAUGCAAGUCGAGCGGAGGCAAUGCUUAACACUGAGUAUUUAUCUACGAGGCUACUAAGUAGCCAGCGUCAAGCGAACGAAGUGAGCUUCACGCAAAUUAUGAAUAAUACAUGAUGAGUAUUGAGUGUUAAGUAUUGCCUCAGCGGCGGACGGGUGAGUAACGCGUGGGUAACCUGCCCUGUACACUUGGAUAACACACCGAAAGGUGUGCUAAUACAAGAUAAUAUCAAAGGAAGGCAUCUUCUUUUGAUCAAAGCUUUUGCGGUACAGGAUGGACCCGCGUCCCAUUAGCUAGUUGGUGGGGUAAUGGCCUACCAAGGCGACGAUGGGUAGCCGACCUGAGAGGGUGA
rnacentral:ncRNA from 1 species